GUGAAGAGCAAAGUAGCUGACCCAGAUAUACUAUUGUAGAUAGAUACAUAGAAGAAACAGUAGCUUAUCUUCUGUACCAACAAUGUUCCCAAAAUGGCUGCAGAUAUACCAAGCUGUCACGAUCGUUGUAUAAAUAAUCGGACCAGGGCGCAGCCAGGAAGAAGGAUAGCUGAAACACACACCAACGCUGUCUGGGAACAACGUAACAACCUGGGUAUGUGUUUGCAUCUAUUACCUACUCCCAGUAGGUCCAUCAAUAUGACAACACAAAGACACACCAUGCAGGCCUAUUCUUGGAAUCUAAUGGGUUUUUUCUGUGUGUUUAUUUGUUUUUUUAAGAACUCGGCUGGUAUAUACCUAGAGUUAAAUAUACAUAAAUACACACUACAGCUUUAACAGCUAGUGUGAGCAGUAAUAUCUAGUCAAGUCUGACAUACUGUAUGAGCCGUCCCCUCACCAUGAGCAUCAAUCAUACAACCAAUGUGAUAGAGACAGAGGAAGAAUUGGAGAAGGGCAGAGGAGAUCAGUGAUGGUUUGAUGGCCAGAAUGGGAAUUUAGCCAGGACACCAGAGUUAACACCCCUACUCUUACAAUAAGUGCCAUGGGAUCGUUAAUGACCGCAGAGUCAGGAGACCUUUUUAACAUCCCAUCCGAAAGACAGCACCCUACAAGGGGAAGUGUCCCCAAUCACUAGCCUGGGGCAUUGGGAUAUUUUUUAGACCAGAGGAAAGAGUGCCUCCUACUGGCCCUCCAUCACCACUUCCAGCAGCAUCUGGUCUCCCAUCCAGGGACUGAUCAGGACCAACCCUGCUUAGCUUCAGAAGCAAGCCAGCAGUGGUAUGCAGGGUGGUAUGCUGCUACUAUACUGACUAUACACACCAUCCUAUAUAACUACUGUCCAUACUGUCUAUACGCACCAUCCUAUAUAACUACUGUCUAUACUGACUAUAAACACCAUCCUAUAUAACUACUGUCUAUACUGACUAUACGCACCAUCCUAUAUAACUACUGUCUAUACGCACCAUCCUAUAAAUAACUACUGUCUAUACGCACCAUGCUAUAUAACUACUGUCUAUACACACCAUCCUAUAUAACUAAUGUCUAUACACACCAUCCUAUAUAACUACUGUCUAUACACACCAUCCUAUAUAACUACUGUCUAUACACACCAUCCUAUAUAACUACUGUCUAUACUGACUAUACGCACCAUCCUAUAUACAGUGCCUUGCGAAAGUAUUCGGCCCCCUUGAACUUUGCGACAUUUUGCCACAUUUCAGGCUUCCCAGUUAUAUAGGAUGGUGUGUAUAGUCAGUAUAGACAGUAGUGCCAUAGGAUGGUGUGUAUAGAUAGUAGUUAUAUAUAGGAUGGUGUGUAUAGACAGUAGUUAUAUAGGAUGGUGUGUAUAGUCAGUAUAGACAGUAGUUAUAUAGGAUGGUGUGUAUAGUCAGUAUAGACAGUAGUUAUAUAUAGGAUGGUGUGUAUAGACAGUAGUUACAGUGCCUUGCGAAAGUAUUCGGCCCCCUUGAACUUUGCGACCUUUUGCCAGAUUUCAGGCUUCAAACAUAAAGAUAUAAAACUGUAUUUUUUUGUGAAGAAUCAACAACAAGUGGGACACAAUCAUGAAGUGGAACGACAUUUAUUGGAUAUUUCAAACUUUUUUAACAAAUCAAAAACGGAAAGAUUGGGCGUGCAAAAUUAUUCAGCCCCUUUACUUUCAGUGCAGCAAACUCUCUCCAGAAGUUCAGUGAGGAUCUCUGAAUGAUCCAAUGUUGACCGAAAUGACUACUGAUGAUAAAUACAAUCCACCUGUGUGUAAUCAAGUCUCCGUAUAAAUGCACCUGCACUGUGAUAGUCUCAGAGGUCCG
rnacentral:lncRNA from 1 species